rnacentral:rRNA from 1 species
AGAGUUUGAUCCUGGCUCAGGAUGAAUGCUGGCUGUAUGGAUAAGGCAUGCAAGUCGAACGGACCGCAAGGUCAGUGGCAGACGAGGUAGUAACACGUAGGUACGUACUCCGAAGUCGGGCAUAGCCAACCGAAAGGUUGGGUAAUUCCCGAUAGUCCCGUAAGGGUAAAGAUUUAUCGCUUCGGAAGCGGCCUGCGUAGUAUCAGCUUGUUGGUAAGGUAACGGCUUACCAAGGCUACGACGCUUAGGGGAGCUGAGAGGCUGACCCCCACCGAUGGGACUGAGACACGGCCCAUACUCCUACGGGAGGCCGCAGUCGAGAAUCUUCCGCAAUGGACGCAAGUCUGACGGAGCGAUACAGCGUGAUGGACGAAGUGCUUCGGUACGUAAACAUCUUUUAUGUGGGACGAAAUUAUUGACGGUACCACAUGAAUAAGGGGCUCCUAACUCUGUGCCAGCAGGAGCGGUAAUACAGAGGCCCCAAGCAUUAUCCGGAAUCACUGGGCGUAAAGGGUGUCAAGGCGGUCAUGUUAGUCGUUCGUUAAAUCUGGGGGCUCAACCUCCAGCCUGCGAGCGAAACGGCAUGACUUGAGGUCGGGAGAGGUAUGUGGAACUCAUGGUGUAGGGGUGAAAUCCGUUGAUAUCAUGGGGAACACCAAAGGCGAAGGCAGCAUACUGGCCCGAAUCUGACGCUCACACACGAAAGCCAGGGUAGCGAAUGGGAUUAGAUACCCUGGUAGUCC